CCUUCUGUGUUGCCUGGAAACGGACUGUUCGCCUAGUAACAUCUGAUCACGUUUCCCAUUGGUCACCGUUUCCGGAAGCCCGCUCUCCCGUUUCCGGAAUCCCCGCAGGCGCUGGGUCUGCAGAUGGCGUCCAGGUACACAGUGGCGAGUGUGAUUCCGCAGUCUUGGGCUGUUUGGCCAAGCGCCCGCCGGACAUGGUACGCCGAAGGGUCAUCGGCGUGGAGUCCUCGCUUUCAGCGUCCGCGGCUGGGAAAUCGGCCAUCGCUACGGCGGGAACUGGGACUCGGGCUGCGUCCCGGCCCUUCCACAUCGGUCCACCGCACUCGUGGGCGCCCGCAUUGGUGCUGACAUAAUUUCCUGACCUCUGACCCGUAUUGUCUCGCGAUUAAAGGUCCAGAUUUGGAACAAAUCUCUCUAGAGAUUGAACAGAGCUGCGCCUGGAUCCCUCAGCAGUGAGGAGACCUGAAGACCAGAGGAAACACAGCAAACGGAGCCUUGCUCUGUUGCCCAGGCUGGUGUGUAGUGAUCUCAGCUCACUGCAAGCUCCACCUUCCGGGUUCACA
rnacentral:lncRNA from 1 species